rnacentral:lncRNA from 10 species
GAAGAGAGAAAUGCAUUUCAUAGGGAAUGGCAAGUGGACAGGCAACAGUGGUCAGAUAUCCAUGUUCAAGAGGAAAUGUUUGUUCAAGGCAAAAAAUUAUUUCUCAGUAACCAUCAUAGCUAACAUUUAUAAGGUGCCAAUCUUUAUUCAAAGCACUUAAACUUUAUUAACUCAUUUAACUUCACAACAACCCUAUAAGGUAGGUACUAUUAUUAUUAUUCUCAUUUUACAGAAGAGGAAAUUAAACAGAGAAAAGCUAGGUAAUUUGCCCAAGGUUUCACAGCUGGUAUAACGAUGUCUUCAUAUCAUUAUAUGAAGUCACGUUGUUGUUUGUUCUGAUCUACAAUGCAAGAGCCAGAGACUUUUGUUUUGUUUUGUUUUGUCUUUUUUUAUUUAUUCUGGAGACCCAGAGACUUUGAUUCACUCAUUGUUGAAUUGUUGCUGAACAUUCACAAUGUCUUAAAGGCCAGACUUCAGUCACUCCAUUUGGAAGCUCCAGUUGGGGCAUUUAGAGGCUGAAGGAUAAAAUGUGAACUCAUCUUGUGUCUGAAGCUGAGGAAAGCCCAUAGUUACUCAUUACCACAAUCUGGAUCUGUCUGAUGCUACUGCCAAGCAUAAACAGGGCAGAUGCACACUCAGGAUGAAGUCACCUUACCACAUACACAGGCAAAACAUUCAAAUAUCCACAGGUCUCACCAGCAAAGGAGUCUGUCUAGUCACCUGGUUUCUCUCAGCUCUCAGGAAGAAUGCAUGGAAUGAUAAAAGAUUGGUCCUGAUCUCUGCUAAUGCUUUACUCAGCCACUGGAACUGACACAAUUUUUUACUCUAUGUCUACAUCUCUAGUCUAUAAUCAAAUACAAGAGCAUAAAAAAUUAAUAGCUCUUCUUCCUCCAUUUUAAUACUAGGCUUAAGAAUUUUCAUUCUCUAUGUGAUUUGCUACUAUAGUAUAUUAGUAAUAUUUUAGAACCAGUUUUAGCAAACCACUUGUGGCAUACUGUGUAUGGCUUCAGGUACAGCUGGAUCUAGGAGUUCAAAUGAUGUUUUCAGAAUCUGGAGUCUCUCAACUCUGCUUUAUCAAGCAGCCUCUCCCUUCAUGUAGGUAUGUUCCUCACAACUUCAAGUCCAAAGACAAAAUGUGUGCCUCCUUUCCAGUCAUUCAUAUGACAGUCCCAGGACUAGUUCGGACUGAGUCUGAUUGAAAUGGCUUGAGUCAAAUACUCAACCCUAAAUAAAUAUCUGUGGCCAUAGGAAUGCUAUGCUAUGAUUGGCAGUCAUAGAUUACAGCCGAUUCCUGGAACCAAGAGAGUAGAGAAAUGAUGGUUUUCCAGAGGGAACUCAGGGUUAAGUCCUCAGAAGAACUGGAUAGGUACUGGGCUGGGCAAGCCAAAAUAAUGGCAGUGGAGCAGAGAGAAGAGAGUAGGCUGGCUCUGUAGUGGUAGAGCAUAGCUGCAG